CAUCUGCUUGGUGUCCACAGAGAACUGGAAAGUUGCUUGGUAGGGAAAACCCACACAUCUGGUGGGCAGAAGAAUUCAGUGAAUGUGAUAAUAAAGGAAAACACAGAAGAGAGUUUUUCCCAACUCAGAUGCCAUAUUUUUAAGGAAGUACAGUAGAAAAAAUCGAGUUGGCAGGACCAGACACAGAAAGGUUGACCUGGGAAAGGAAGAGUCAACACAGACUAGUGUAAUCAGGACACGUAGUGUAAUGAACAUGUAUGAUUUCCAGACACUUCUUAGCACAUACAUCUGAACAUCUCGAGGCCAUGUCCACCAUCCUCCCCAGUUUCCCUCUCCCGCAGUGACUUGGAGAACCGGAUCAAAACUCAUCUGGGCUAUCUAUGCCUCAGAAAGGUGCUAGAGCAGCUCUUGGAUCACCGAGGAUCACGACUCAGCUACUUCAAACCUGAGCUUGGCAGAAUUCGGGGACUCCUCCUGACACCCCAGAUUUGGUCCGAUGUGAUUUAGGAGUUGCAGGUUCAUAUACAGAUGGGCCAAAGAAACAACAGUCUGACACAACACUUGAGAAAAAGCUGGCUAUUUUGAAUUUACUAAGAGCACAGCAUCUUUCUUUUUCCUUCCUUCAUCCUCCUGCUUAGCUGUUGAAGACUGUGAAGGUCACUGACAUCUUACAACAAAGAUUGUUCUCACCAUGAAUUCUCUUCCUGUGAUAUGUCCCAUCCUCAGAGCAGAGAUUGCCUUCCUGGAAGAAGCCACAGUGUUGUCUGAGGAGCUCAAGUUCACAAU